rnacentral:rRNA from 1 species
UAACUCUACGGGACGCAGCAGUAGGGAAUCUUCCACAAUGGGCGAAAGCCUGAUGGAGCAACGCCGCGUGGGUGAAGAAGGUCUUCGGAUCGUAAAACCCUGUUGUUAGAGAAGAAAGUGCGUGAGAGUAACUGUUCACGUUUCGACGGUAUCUAACCAGAAAGCCACGGCUAACUACGUGCCAGCAGCCGCGGUAAUACGUAGGUGGCAAGCGUUAUCCGGAUUUAUUGGGCGUAAAGAGAACGCAGGCGGUCUUUUAAGUCUGAUGUGAAAGCCUUCGGCUUAACCGGGGUCGUGCAUUUGAA